rnacentral:rRNA from 1 species
AGUGAACGCUGGCGGUAGGCCUAACACAUGCAAGUCGAACGGCAGCACAGUAAGAGCUUGCUCUUACGGGUGGCGAGUAGCGGACGGGUGAGGAAUACAUCGGAAUCUACUUUUUCGUGGGGGAUAACGUAGGGAAACUUACGCUAAUACCGCAUACGACCUACGGGUGAAAGCAGGGGAUCUUCGGACCUUGCGCGAUUGAAUGAGCCGAUGUCGGAUUAGCUAGUUGGCGGGGUAAAGGCCCACCAAGGCGACGAUCCGUAGCUGGUCUGAGAGGAUGAUCAGCCACACUGGAACUGAGACACGGUCCAGACUCCUACGGGAGGCAGCAGUGGGGAAUAUUGGACAAUGGGCGCAAGCCUGAUCCAGCCAUACCGCGUGGGUCAAGAAGGCCUUCGGGUUGUAAAGCCCUUUUGUUGGGAAAGAAAAGCAGCAGGUUAAUACCCCGCUGUUCUGACGGUACCCAAAGAAUAAGCACCGGCUAACUUCGUG